rnacentral:lncRNA from 1 species
ACCGCGACGACAUUUGCGGCGUCCUCCCCGCGCCCGCAGCCCCCGCCCCGUCCUCGUCAAUCCGCUCCGCCAGCAAAUAGAGGAAGUUGCGUCCCAAUCCCACAGUGCUUCCACCUCGACCGCCUAUUGGGCUCCCACGCCCAUUCCCACCACCUCACCUUGCUUCUAUUGCUGUGCUCCGCCACAGAGCCCUAAGUGGAGCUACGAAUCCCGUGAUCCCCGACGACGCUGCACAGUAGCUCAGUGGUGACGACGAGCACGUCCCCCUCAUGCUCUAGGUGGAGCUACAAACCCCGUGAGUCCAUGCCCGCACCCUCACCUCUGUCCUCCCGCGAUGUCCCCGCCACCCUCCGCCCUCACCUAACGCGAUGUCAAUGCCCCCGGCCAAGGAGCCUCCUUCCUCCCCCAUCCCACUCGCGUGAAUCAACAUGUGAGGUCGUCCUCGCCCCCCGGUCCAUUGUGGCAGACCAUGCUCAGCAUUGCCGCCAAGAACACGACUCUCCUCGAUGUACUGCUCUAUCUCGGGGACCUCGCCUAGCACUGCCCCCCGGCUCGCGUCGACGAGGUGUAGUCCUCCCUCACCCGCACCUUUCAGAUGAUCCAGGUGCUACUCGAGGCUGUCAAUCGCGAGAUCAAUGAUGGUGCUAAUUUAGGAUGCAAUGGUUGUUUGCUUUGAAUUGAAUUAUUCCAUGCGUUGGGUGGGGGAAUAAGGGAUAGGAAGCUGCUUACAUUUUGAAGAGAUUUGAUUAUACCUUAAGCACGAUUGCACUGACACAUUGGCUGUGGGAGAUGGGUUCUGCUAUUUUGGUACGUUCUCAUUCAUCUCUGCUAGAGCAGAUUCGGAAUGGUGAGUUUGGCGGUGGUUCAUUGUUUCAGUUUGUUAGAAUUUUUCAAAUGAAAGUUGUCUCAAUUUUUGGAUCAUUCUUGGUUUCAUGACGACUUGAUGAAUGAUAAAAGUCUGCUAAAUAUAUAACUGAAUGCCCAAACUACAGAUUAUCUAAUGGUCAAACUGAAUAUUUGUUUUAUGGCAAAACAACUAUAUAGAAAAUUACAUCUUUCAUGUCUUGUUCGGCGGCGGUCCAAGCGGCUACCAAUAGGGAUGAUACAGGUUUUGCUGUUCUUUUAUUUAUUAAUUGGUUCAAUUGGAGAAUUACCUCAACUUGUUGGGAUUAAUGUGCUUUGUUCUUUGAUGACCCCUUGCUGAGUGAGAAAUCAAACGAGAUCUGUGCUGGUACCCAAAUCUGCCAUGUUUAUACUUCAUGUUGAUUCAAAGCAAAUCUGCCAUUAUGUCAAAAAGUCAAUAGCAUGGUAUGCAUUUUCACAUUUAUCUUCAUUCAAGGAAAAAUGAAACAUGUUCAUAGCUACUGGAACAUGAAGGUGGUGUUUGGUUUCUAGGGACUAAUUUUCAAUCCCUCCAUUUUAGUCCCUAAAUUACCAAAUUAAUUCGAGGGUGUUUGAUUUCUAGGGUGUCUAAGGUAUAAUUAAAUCUCUUCAAAAUGUAAGCAGGGACUAUAGCCCAAAGCCCUAAAUUAAUUCAAGGGCGAAUUAAUUUGGGGCUUUGGGCUAUAGUGACAAGUAAUUUUUAUCCUUAAGAACAUUGAUUAGACUUGUUACAAAUUUCUAGCUAGCAUGCAUUUUUAUUAUAGAAAAUAUAUCAUAGUAGUGUUGAGGAUGGAUUGGUGUCUUUCAAUCUAAUCUAAUUAUUAUUGGUUCAUGGCAAUUAUUAUAUGCUUCUUUAAAUCUUCCUGUGUAAAUUUGAGUUAGGUCUAUCAAGUCUGUUCUAUUGAUGGUAGCUCACAUUUUUUAUUCCAUGGCCAGAUUGAUCUCCAUGAAGCUCGUCAAAGCAUUGAACAACAUAUAUCCCCAGAGAAUAUCUUCUGCGCUGUCCUUGAAACUGUUGCUCAUGCCCAAGUUAGUCUAUGCAUUUGUUAGUCUGCUCAGGCCCAUGUUUAAACUGCUGCUCAGGCCCAUAUCUGCCCUUGUUAGUCUGUGCAUUUGUUAACUGUCAUUAUUUACUGGACAUGCUUUUUUAUCCCCUGAGACAUCUGGCAACAUAUGUUAAAACUGAUUCAUUUUUGUGUACUAAUACAAUCUGUUGUCAAUCAAAG